CCUCUCAGUUCUCCACAAACAGAUGCAUUUCUAGUCUAUUUUUUAGUGGUCUUCUGCCCUUAUUUGAAAAUGUGAAAGAAAACAAGGCACCUGAGAUAGUUCACCAUUGUCCAAAAACUCCUCGUUUGUUGAAACCAAAAUUGACCUCUUAUCCCAAAGACUAAUGAAAUGCUGGCCUGUGACUUGAAGUCUUAUUUAUGGAGUGUUCUGUAUUCACACAGAAAAAUCUACAGGAUGUAUUUGACAAAGCACUUUUGGAUGCCUUGGAGCUUCUAGAACUUACAAAGAGCUGCAGGAGGAACUGCCCCUUGCUGGUUCCCUAAUCACCUUACACUUUGUUACUCUGUCAGCCAUAGUUGACAAAUGUGGCACCCAACCUGAUGUAGUAAGAUUAAGAAGUCUUUUUGGAAGAGUGAGCCACCUGGGCCAGGUUAAAGGCUGUGAUAAGACUCCGUGGGAUCUGUUCUUGUCUGUGGGGUAGUGCAUGUUCUUGUCUAAGUGGUGGUCAAGGAGAGGGAAUAGGCUACUUCCACUGUCAUACAUGUUAAUAGACUGUGUGGGUUGUGAUAUGAGAAGACUCCCUAGGAUCUGAUAGUUUAUCCUUCCUGUUAGUGAACUUUGGAGGCUUAGAAAAGUAGAAUUGUAAGCCAGCUUCCUGAAUGGUGUCUCUGUUGGUAAUUCCAUUGUUGAAACUGAGCAGACAGCCACUUAAAUUGAAAGUAAGUGGAAACCUGCGCUUACUGGUGCAGAGCUGCUCCUGCCAUGCCUUCUGACCUCUCCCUUUUACCCUGACCUCUACUGCUUUAAGAGAAGAAACUUCCCCUCUGCUGCAGCUGACCUCCUCUGCUCUGCCCUGAACACCUGAAGAGAUGACAUGUUCUCUGGGCAGCUGUUGUAACUCCUCAAGUACCUUUGUUAAACUUCUUAGCCUGUGUUUCUCUAAAAAGUGUCUGAAUUCAGCUGAUACGGUUUGGGCCAGAUUUACAGUAAAGAGAAAAAAGCUAAUGAGUGAGGCCUCUGAGCCAAUUCAAUGUACCAUUGUGAAAAUGUAUAAUUUGAAUGAUAUGUUACUUUCUUGUACUAUGAAUGCUUAUAAGAUGUUAAGAGAAAUUUCCUUGGAUGUCCAAAGUUUUCACUGUAUAAAUAAUGCCUAGUGGUUGACAAAUCAAAAGUUUCUCUCUAUAUGGCUUUAUUGUAACAUUAUCAGGUGUGACUAAUAAACCCUGACAAAAUUCAA